CAAAGGCUCCAAACCUCUUUGAAAAUCAUCAUAUGUUAGUGCAGGAUGCAACUAGGCAUUAAAACAAUAUUGUCAUAUUUUUUGAAAUUUUCUCAUAAUCUAUCGGCUAACCCCUGCAAAAAUAUUGAGUUUUUGGUAAAUACUUUGUAUACUGAAGCCUAUAAUCUUUAAUGUUGUUUUAAAAUUUAUACCAUAUUCUACAUUUGUAUUAAUGUAUGCUAAACUCUUUUUCAUGGU
rnacentral:lncRNA from 1 species